rnacentral:rRNA from 1 species
ACGGAAGGCAGCAGUGGGGAAUAUUGCACAAUGGGGGAAACCCCGAUGCAGCGACGCCGCGUGAGUGAAGAAGUAUUUCGGUAUGUAAAGCUCUAUCAGCAGGAAAGAAAAUGACGGUACCUGACUAAGAAGCCCCGGCUAACUACGUGCCAGCAGCCGCGGUAAUACGUAGGGGGCAAGCGUUAUCCGGAUUUACUGGGUGUAAAGGGAGCGUAGACGGCUUUGCAAGUCUGAAGUGAAAGCCCGGGGCUCAACCCCGGAACUGCUUUGGAAACUGUAGAGCUAGAGUGCAGGAGAGGUAAGUGGAAUUCCUAGUGUAGCGGUGAAAUGCGUAGAUAUUAGGAGGAACACCAGUGGCGAAGGCGGCUUACUGGACUGUAACUGACGUUGAGGCUCGAAGGCGUGGGGAGCAAACAGGAUUAGAUACCCUGGUA